rnacentral:ribozyme from 1 species
AAGUUCCUCGUUUUUCUUGUUUUUUUUUUUGUUUUGUUUUGCAUCAUUUAGCAUUCUGCGCA